rnacentral:rRNA from 1 species
AACGAACGCUGGCGGCAUGCCUAACACAUGCAAGUCGAACGAGACCUUCGGGUCUAGUGGCGCACGGGUGCGUAACGCGUGGGAACCUGCCUUUAGGUUCGGAAUAACUCAGAGAAAUUUGAGCUAAUACCGGAUGAUGUCUUCGGACCAAAGAUUUAUCGCCUUUAGAUGGGCCCGCGUUGGAUUAGCUAGUUGGUGGGGUAAAGGCCUACCAAGGCGACGAUCCAUAGCUGGUCUGAGAGGAUGAUCAGCCACACUGGGACUGAGACACGGCCCAGACUCCUACGGGAGGCAGCAGUGGGGAAUAUUGGAUAAUGGGCGAAAGCCUGAUCCAGCAAUGCCGCGUGAGUGAUGAAGGCCUUAGGGUUGUAAAGCUCUUUUACCCGAGAUGAUAAUGACAGUAUCGGGAGAAUAAGCUCCGGCUAACUCCGUG